AGCUCUAUUAUUAUAGUAUCUGUCGUGGACAAGUUGGAGACAUUUGGAAAUAUGUAACUACAACAGUUUGCUCCUCACAGACAGCAGUGAAGAUCAAAGGCAACUUGGCUUUGCAAUACCAACACCAACCUAUUUAUCAAAUAAAGUGUGAUAAACAGAAACAGUUUUCUGAAUAUAAAGUUAAACUGU